GCGCUUUGGAAGAACCGCUCACCCAAAGGGACGAAGGGAACGGCCUUCGUCCGCGCGAGGAUGGGGCUGCGUCCCAUCAGGCAGUUGGUGGGGUAAUGGCCCACCAAACCCUAUAACGGGUACGGGCCGUGAGAGCGGGAGCCCGGAGAUGGGCACUGAGACAAGGGCCCAGGCUCUACGGAGCGCACCAAGCGCGAAACCUUCGCAAUGCGGGAAACCGUGACGGGGCCAUCCCGAGUGCAGGCUGCUGAGGCCUGCUUUUGCCCAGUGUAAGAAGCUGGGCGAAUAAGUGGGGGGCAAGACUGGUGUCAGCCGCCGCGGUAAUACCAGCUCCACGAGUGGUCAGGACGGUUAUUGGGCCUAAAGCGUCCGUAGCCGGCCCGGUAAGUUUAUGGUGAAAUCCGGCAUCUCAAGUGUCGGAGCGCUGUAAAUACUGCCGGGCUAGGGAGCGGGAGAGGCCGAGGGUACCUCCGGGGUAGGGGCGAAAUCCUAUAAUCCCGGAGUGACGACCAGUGGCGAAAGCGCUCGGCUAGAACGCGUCCGACGGUGAGGGACGAAAGCUGGGGUAGCAAACCGGAUUAGAUACCCGGGUAGUCCCAGCCGUAAACUAUGCGGGCUAGUUGUCGGAACGGCUUAGGGCCGCUCCGGUAACGCAGGGAAGCCAUUAAGCCCGCCGCCUGGGGAGUACGACCGCAAGGUUGAAACUUAAAGGAAUUGGCGGGGGAGCACCACAAGGGGUGAAGCUUGCGGCUCAAUGGAGUCAACGCC
rnacentral:rRNA from 1 species